rnacentral:rRNA from 1 species
CCUACGGGUGGCAGCAGUGAGGAAUAUUGGUCAAUGGACGCGAGUCUGAACCAGCCAAGUAGCGUGAAGGAUGACUGCCCUAUGGGUUGUAAACCUCUUUUAUAAAGGAAUAAAACGAGGCACGCGUGCCUUUUUGCGUGUACUUUAUGAAAAAGGAUCGGCUAACUCCGUGCCAGCAGCCGCGGUAAUACGGAGGAUCCGAGCGUUAUCCGGAUUUAUUGGGUUUAAAGGGAGCGUAGAUGGGGUGUUAAGUCAGUGGUGAAAGUUUGUGGCUCAACCGUAAAAUAGCGAUUGAUACUGGCAGUCUAGAGUACAGGUGAGGUAGGCGGAAUUCGUGGUGUAGCGGUGAAAUGCUUAGAUAUCACGAAGAACCCCGAUUGCGAAGGCAGCUUACUAAACUGUGACUGACAUUGAGGCACGAAAGUGUGGGUAUCAAACAGGAUUAGAUACCCUGGUAGUC